UUGUCUUUCUUUUAGUUCUGUGUAGUCUUUAUUUACCAUGUAAUGAUUAGUUUGAAUGCUUAUAGUGGUGAUACUUUCCCUAUAAAUUUGUUGGGUAGAUUAUAAUUCCGUUACUUGAUUUAGGACAGUAUAUGGUUCUAUGAUACAGGAUUUAGAGGAACAUAUACGGGAUUUAGUUUUUCAGGUCACACUUGUCCCAUAUUCUGUUACUUUCCCUAUUGAUUUUAGCUUGCAAUUGAGUAAGAUGCAGGUUGGGAAUUCUCCCUUGUGUGUCAGAAUCUGAAGUAUUUGACCAUUUGGGUUCACUUCUAUCAUGUGUUGUAUCCUUCCUCUAUUUUAAGAUUUACUAGGCACAUGCAGGUUAGUUGUUGUUUCAAACAUGUCAAUGAAAGGUAGUAAUGUUAAAAUUGGUUCCCCAAGGGCCAAGGUGGUGAUGAUCACUUUGUGAUUCUUUUCCUACUUGUUCUAAAAAUGAUUCUUCUGGGUGAUGUUGAUUUAGGUUUUUGUGGUCGUGUCAUACACCAAUUACCGUCGAGAUGGGUAAUGGUAUGGGAAUGGGGCUCCAAGGAUGUGAAAAUGGUCUGGAAGACAGAGUUAGCAGCGAUAUGUGUCCUCAAGUAAUUUCUUGCCAAAGGUGAUGUGAAGGUUAGCUACUGUGAUCAAGGAAAUAACAUGUAUCUGUGUGGUUUGUUCCUGCUGUUGAUCGGCCAUUGCUGCGUUUAAGGUAUGUUGUGCCCGGUGCUACUUAAUGCUAUAUAAAACCUAUAGCUGUACAUAGAACGCCUUGAUAUGCAAAUAACCCAGUUAAAAUAAAUGGGUUGCGCCAUCUAGCAUUACAUGACGACAUGCCAAACACUUUGCCACCUAGGAUAGUCUAUAUUUGUAUUUCAUUCAGUUAUCUCAUAUUUCCAGUAAAAAAACUCUUCGCUUUGGGGUUUUGGAAUAAUCUUCAGGAAGUUGGUGACGAGUUAGUAGAACUUAUAGAAAUGUCGCUUUCAUUAGACAAUGACAUGCCAAAGACGCCAUUGCCUAAGGUAGUCUUUGGACUUAAGCUAUCUCAUAUGUACAAUAACAAGAUUUGUCACUUCAGUUUUUAGAAUAAUCAGUUGGUUAAGAAUUAGAGCUAAAGUUACGCUCAUGAGUAGUAUUUGUUGUACAAACAUCCAGUUAAUUCUUGAGAUACAAUAGAGACACUAUAUUAGUACUACUUUAGUCAAAUACAUUGUCCACUGGUUGUUGUAGUGAAAUGUCGCUCUAGCUAUUAAUUUACAGAAUUGUAGAAAAUAGCCCCUACGAAAUUACAAAGAGCGAGAAUAAGGAAGCUGGCAAACUUAGUGCUUCAUGGUAUUUCAGUAGAAAGGAAAUAGAAGAGAAUUCUCCGUCUAAGAGGGAUGGCAUUGAUUUAAAGAAAGAGACUUACCUUCGGAAAUCGUAUUGCACUUAUCUACAAGAUUUGGGGAUGCGGCUCAAAGUGUAAGAUAUUUUAUGUCCUUCUAUGCAUUUAUCGAUACUGUAGCCUGUUGGCUGACUGUCCCUUACUUAUCCAAAACAUUGAGUUCUGCUACUUACCCAACCAGAUGUUAAAUAUUUCAAAAUGCGUCUUUAUAUUGACAUUGUAUCGUAAUUGCUUCUCCUGAUGUGUUUUUGUUUUACACCAGCAUAUAUUUGGUCCAGAGAUAUUCAAUUGUUUGUCUGAUAAGAUAAUAUUUUACUUCUUUAUGGAGCACUCUUAUGGCAAGCACGUUUUUUCUGGAUGAACUGCUGGUUGGUUUUUUUCUCCAUAAAUACGAUAAAUUAUCAUAUCAUAUGAAAUGUCAAGAUAUACUGAAAAUAUGCCCUGUAUGAUGGUGGUCUGGCAUUUUAGAAUUGUUUUGGGCAAUUCAUGUUUGUAUGCAUUUUUUCUUUUGGCCCUUGAAGGCAUCUUUAAUAGUUUGCAAUUCCGAUAGAAAUUGCUGUGCUCGUAUCUUUAGUUUUUAUUACAAUUGGUCGAUCUACAACGAGUGCGUCUGAUUCCAACUCAUCAAGGUGAGCUCCCUCUUUUAUUCUUCUCAGGUAAUGAGGCGUCAGUGUAGGCCCAAUCUUUUUGUUUGUUGCUUUGAAGAGUGUUGUCAUGUUGUGGAAAGGCAACAUGUGCUUGAUAUGUGGAGUUGGUGUUGAGCCUGGCGGUAGUAGACAGGGAAGGCACCCAUCUCACUUGAUCUUGAGAGUUGAUUCAUAUCUUUUUUUCUUGACCUGAUUGAGUUCCUGUAUAUGCAAGGAUAAAGAAGAAGGGGCAUUGUCGUGGUUGUUGCUUAAGGUGUUGGUCAGGAGCUGAUUGCCGGGACUGAUGACAAGAACGGAGAGCAGGAUGAGUAUGUCAACAUGAUGUUCCUUGAUGUUGGCCUUCUUUUAUAAAGUUCACAUGCAACUCUCCUCCAUGGUUAGAAAAAACUAAUUUAAACAUUUUGUUUCUUUGGUGGUUACUCAUUUCUCUUACCAUUGUUGUAUCAAAACAAUUGUAUUUUCGUUGAUGGCCACUUGGGCUCAUUUUUGAGGAGAAUGAGAUGUGGAAUAAACUACUCUGAAAUGGUUGGUUCCCUUCAGACAGUUUACUAGCUAACUAAUUUUGGCUGCUGGUGCA